rnacentral:rRNA from 1 species
GGUAUUGAAAUAAGAUUUUAAAUGAGUGCUAAGAGAAUGAUUGAACAAUUAUAGGCUUUCUUUAGUUAAAAAAUUAAAUUUAAUUUUUUUAGUGCAAAAGCAAAAAUUAAAUUUAGGGACAAGAAGACCCUAUGAAUUUUAAUUUAAUUUAAAAUUUCAAAUUUUAAAUUAAAUUUGAUUGGGGCGAUGGAAAAAGAAUGAGUAUCUUUUUUAGUUUUAAAAAUUGGUUCCGUUUUUAACGAUUAAAUGAGAAAAAUACUCUAGGGAUAACAGCGUAAUAAUUUUGGAUAGUUCUUAUAGAUAAAAUAGUUUGCGACCUCGAUGUUGGAUUAGGAUUC